AGAGUUUGAUCCUGGCUCAGGAUAAACGCUGGCGGCGUGCUUCAGGCAUGCAAGUCGAACGGUCUCCCGACUUCGGUCGGGAGGUAGUGGCGAACGGGUGAGUAACACGUAAGUAACCUGCCCAGAAGUGGGGAAUAACCCGCCGAAAGGCGAGCUAAUACCGCAUGUGAUCCUUUCGUCUAAGCGGAAGGAUGAAAGGCCUCGGUCGCUUCUGGAGGGGCUUGCGCCCGAUUAGCUAGUUGGUGGGGUAAUGGCCUACCAAGGCAACGAUCGGUAGCUGGUCUGAGAGGACGGUCAGCCACACGGGGACUGAGAUACGGCCCCGACUCCUACGGGAGGCAGCAGCUAGGAAUCUUGGAAAUGCGCGAAAGCGUGAUCUAGCAACGCCGCGUGAGCGAUGAAGGCCUUCGGGUUGUAAAGCUCUUUUGCAGGGGAAGAUUAUGACGGUACCCUGCGAAUAAGCCACGGCUAACUACGUGCCAGCAGCCGCGGUAAUACGUAGGUGGCAAGCGUUGUCCGGAUUUACUGGGCGUAAAGGGCGUGCAGGCGGUUCGUUAAGUCUAGGGUGAAAGCUCCCGGCUCAACUGGGAGAGGUCCUUGGAUACUGGCGGACUUGAGGGGAGUAGAGGAGAGUGGAAUUCCCGGUGUAGUGGUGAUAUGCGUAGAUAUCGGGAGGAACACCAGUGGCGAAGGCGGCUCUCUGGGCUCUACCUGACGCUGAGACGCGAAAGCGUGGGGAGCGAACCGGAUUAGAUACCCCUGUAGUCC
rnacentral:rRNA from 1 species